AUGCGUCUUACUGGGGGUGAGUUGAUCAGCUUCUCCUUCAGAGCAGAAGGACCCAAGCUGGCUAUCAUUUAUCUCAACCUAGUGGAAGAUGAUGAAGAUGAUCAAGAUAAUGAGGACCCACUCGAUGAAGAUGAUGAGGAUCCACUUCAUGAAGCCAUCGUAGCUCAAAGAACAAGGCUGAGCGAGGAGGAGGUGUCCAACCUGUGGGACAUAAUUCCGCCACGUGCUGACUUUGUCGGGGUGCCAUUCGUGACCCGCCUGACAAAUACCAUGGUUGAUCGACAUGAUAUGAAAUUGGCAAAGAGCAUAUCUGUGAGUUAUGGUAUCGAGCCUGAUGAAGAAGGCUCAGCUGGACUACGCAUUACUGCAAGGGGCUUCGUCACAACCUGUACUUACCGCGUGGACACGGAUGGUCGCACACACUUAAACUCGGUUGGGUGA
rnacentral:rRNA from 1 species